ACAGGAUUGAGUGACUGAACUGAAGUUGGUGGACUCUGAGUACCAUACAAGAUGGAGUAUAUAUAUUUCACCUUAUUCCUGCUGCUAAAUAUAACUAAAGACCAUGGAUGAAUUCUAUAAAGCUAUCUAAAGAUCUUGAAUGGUAGGGAAAAGGUGGUCACCUGGGUAGUCACUUUGGAACUUGAGGAAUGAACUGGAAGUUUCCUGGGUGUUUUCUUGUUUUUUUUAACCUGGGUGUUUUCUUAUGCCACAUUUUUACUUUCCUUUGACUUGGGUGCAAAAAACAUCUAAAACCUGAAAACAUCAGUGGGUGCAGAUGAAGAAUACUAAAAGCCUGCUCUUAUCAACCAAAGGGUGGGAAAAGGGUGAUAUGUAUGAAAUUAUUAAUUUGAUUAUACCUGCCCCACUCCAAGUGAACAUACAUUCCCCAGUCACUGGAUGUGGGCAAGACUAUAGGAGGAGCCCUGUGGACCUUCCUUGCCCUGAACUGAGUGACCAGCCUCAAAAAGGCAGCAUCUCAGCCAUCCUAACUACAGAGACUGAGGGAGGAUUACAGAGACAAAGAAGCUAGAGAAAGAGUUCCUUUAAAUGUGUUAAUGAAGUCCUGGGCACACCCUCAACCAGACCACACAAGAAAGUCACCAUAAUCAACAUGGCAAAAUGAACUAUGAGUGGACUGCUGCCCAGGUUUCAACUGGCAUCAGGUAGCAUCCAAGUUGAAGAGGACCAGAAUACCACUGCAAAAGCCUUGAAAAUUGACACUGAGCCACAAAAGUGGGGCUGAACCCCACUGAACCUGAACAGUUGGCCUUAUAAAAUAGAAGAUUUAAUUACAAGAUUUGCAUAAUACUCAAACUGUGUAGGAUCCAAUGCAAAGUUACUCAUCACAUAAACUUGAGUAAGAGAUAUAUGGAAGACCCAAGCAGGAAGUUUGGAACUAAAAAAUAAAAAAAAACUUACCGAAUGGGUUCAACUGCAGCAUGCAGAUGACAGAGGAAAUCAUCAGCAGACCUAGAGAUCAUUAAGAAUUACCUCAUUUGAACGAUUAGAAACUAUAAAGUGAAUAAAAACAAACAGAAUUGCAGAGACUUGUGGGACAAUAACAAAACCAACAUUCAUGUCAUUAAAGUUCUGAAGGAGAGGAAAAAAAUGUUCCGGACUGAAAUCACACUUGAAGAAAUAAUGGCUGGAAAGUUUCCAGAUCUGACAGAAGAUAAAAUCUAGAUUCAAGAAGCUGAAAGAACUUCAAACAAGAUAAACCUAAAGAAACCCAAGCUCAGUCAGAUCAUAAUUGAAUUUCUGAAAAUUUAAAAGACAGAGAUAAAUCUUAAAAGAGGGUAGAGAAAAAUAACUACCAACAGGGGAUGAACAAUGUGAAAAACAGCAUAUUUAUCAAACAUAUACUUGAGUCAUAGAGGCUCAAGCCUUGGGUGGAGGAGAAGCCAUUUCCACGCUCACCUCCUUGCUGGCUGUUGGUUGGAGACAUCCGUUUCUUGCCACAUAAGCCUCUCUGUAAGGUAGUUUAAAACAUGCCAGCUAGCUUCUCCCAGAAUGAGUAAGAGAGGGUGCCCAAGAGGAAGCCACAGUACCUAUCUUUGGAAGUAACAUCCCUUUGUUCAUUACCUUACAUGAACAAGAUGAAAGCAUUCCAGCCCACACUCACAGAGGGGAGAUUACAAAGGGCAUGAAGCCCAGGAGGUAGAGAUCACUGGGGACCAUCGUAGAGGUUGCCUACCACACUACCAACCAAUUUAUCAAUAGCUUUAUCAACUAAUUUGGAUAUUUAGGAAUUUAGUUUAAAAAUAGUAGAAGUUGUAGUUCAAAAAUAUUAAAAAGAUCAGUUAAAUUCAAUCUCCUAUCUACUGGUUGCCUGAGGAGUUUAAGGAUGCUAUUAGUCAGCAAAGGCUGGGUCAUGUGUUAGAAACUCAAAAACCUUAGGCUCUUAAACUGUACUUCAUACUUGUAUUGCGUGUAUAUCACAAGUUGGCUGGGGACCCCACUUUGAUACAAAACAUUUAUCUGGAUGCUACUUGCCUCCAUGGAAGGGAGAAAAAGCUCUGGAGGGCAAUUAAAUGGUCUGCCCAGAAGUGACACAGCACUUAUGUCACAACUAACUGGUCACAUAGUCCCAGCCAACCACAAGGAGGCUGGGAUAUAUAAUCCUAACAUAUGCAGUUGAGCCGGAAACAGCUGGUGGAAAGUAUAGCUGAUGGUCACCACAGUCAUUCUGGUCACUGAACAAGAUUUUUACCACCACUCCCAGUGUAUGUGAAUUCAUCACCUCGGUCCUGCAGAAGAACAUUUUUGGCAUUAAACAUCUAAAUCCAGAACUGACCACUUCAACACAAAAGUGAUGCUAAAAGAGAUGGGAUUUAUCCUCGACAACGCUUUGUAUUUUACUGAAUAAUCAAGACAGGUUCUAAAGAACAAGGUUGCAUCAUGACUUACUACUUCAUCCGCAAAUCCACCAGCCAGGACAAGAGAGUAAGCGCCAUCAUUACUCCGACCAUGAAUUCCACCAACAUGGGGUCUAUGGACACCUGCUUCGCUCACCUAUAACAUCAAGUGGAUGAAACAAUGGUAUUAUUUACUGAAGACUGAGUGAGGAGUAAGAUUUCAGAGGAUAUGUUUGUGGAAAUCAAGAUCUCCACUCGGAGUCACUAAUUUUGUAAUGCUAGUCAAGCAAGCAGUUGAAUAUAGGAACAUAAAGUUCAGGUAAGACUGGGUCUGAAAAUAUAAAUUCUGAACCAUUUGCUCGGUAUUUAAAGUCUCAUCAUUGCAUGAAGUCAUAUAGGGAGCACUUUGGAAAAUAAAAGAGGAAAGUGGUAAGAGAUACAGAAGGAAAAAUCAACUAAAAAACACUGUGCAAGGCUCUCUACAGUAAUGUAAAGCAUCUGAAGCAAAGGAGUAAUUAUCAAAUUUGCAUUUUUGAAAGAACACAGACUCAUAUUGGAGAA